rnacentral:lncRNA from 1 species
GUAUAACCGUAUCGAGGGGUUGGUACCUUGGUUGCCUAGUACGGGGGGUAGUAGGCCCGUAUAACCAUAUCGAGGGGUUUGUACCUUGGUCCCUAGCUCGGGGGGUGGUAGGCCCGGGUAACCUCAUUGAGGGGUUUGUACCUCUUUCGCCUCUCCAAGGGGGUGGUAGGCCUUGGAAAUACUAUAUUGAUGGUCACUCACCACAUAUGUACUAUGUC